GCACCCGUAGCUCAGCUGGAUAGAGCAUCUGUCUUCGGAACAGAGGGUCGGCGGUUCGAAUCCGUCCGGGUGUA
rnacentral:tRNA from 1 species